GCCCGUGUGGCGCAAUUGGUUAGCGCGUCAGACUUUUAAUCUGAAUGUUGCGAGUUCGAGUCUCGCCGUGGGCG
rnacentral:tRNA from 1 species